rnacentral:rRNA from 1 species
AAUACCGGAGAAUGUUAUCACGGGAGACACACGGCGGGUGCUAACGUCCGUCGUGAAGAGGGAAACAACCCAGACCGCCAGCUAAGGUCCCAAAGUCAUGGUUAAGUGGGAAACGAUGUGGGAAGGCCCAGACAGCCAGGAUGUUGGCUUAGAAGCAGCCAUCAUUUAAAGAAAGCGUAAUAGCUCACUGGUCGAGUCGGCCUGCGCGGAAGAUGUAACGGGGCUAAACCAUGCACCGAAGCUGCGGCAGCGAC